UACGUAGGGACCAAGCGUUGUUCGGAUUUACUGGGCGUAAAGGGCGCGUAGGCGGCAAUUCAAGUCAUCUGUGAAAUCCCCGGGCUCAACCUGGGAACUGCAUUCAAAACUGACUGACUAGAGUAUGGUAGAGGGUGGUGGAAUUUCCUGUGUAGCGGUGAAAUGCGUAGAUAUAGGAAGGAACACCAGUGGCGAAGGCGACCACCUGGACUGAUACUGACACUGAGGUGCGAAAGCGUGGGGAGCAAACAGG
rnacentral:rRNA from 1 species